rnacentral:lncRNA from 1 species
UCUUUAAAUUUGAUUUUUUAAAAAAAUAAUUAACAAGAAUCCUGCUAAAAUUUAAAUAUUUGAAUAUUUUUGCUUUGGAUGCAUGGAGGGAUGUAUUCUUGAAAAGAAAUUUGAAAUUAGCUUUAACAUGGCUUCCUAAACCAUAUUUUUCAAAGUCAAAUAAAAAUUAUUUCAAUUUUUUUCUGAGCAUUAUUAAGAAGUGGAGGAUAAUGUUCCAAAAUGAAAAAUUUAAAUUAAUUUUUUUCUAAAAUAAUUAAGAAUAGUCAUACUUAAAUUAUUUUGAUUUUUUCGUCUGUGUGCAUGGAGGGA